rnacentral:rRNA from 1 species
UGGGGAAUAUUGCACAAUGGAGGGAACUCUGAUUCAGCGACGCCGCGUGAGUGAUGAAGGAAUUCGUUUCGUAAAACUCUGUUCUAUGGGAAGAAAAGGACUGUACCAUAGGAGAAAGCUCCGGCUAAAUACGUGCCAGCAGCCUCGGUAAUACGUAUGGAGCGAGCGUUGUCCGGAAUUAUUGGGCGUAAAGGGUGCGCAGGCGGCUUUACAAGUUGGAUGUGAAAUAUUGUGGCUCAACCACAAACGUGCAUCCAAAACUGCAAAGCUUGAGUUAAGGAGAGGUAAGUGGAAUUCCUGGUGUAGCUGUGGAAUGCGUAGAUAUCAGGAGGAAUACCGGUGGCGAAGGCGACUUACUGGACUUAAACUGACGCUCAGGCACGAAAGCGUGGGGAGCAAACAGG